UUCGCGUCUCUCAUUUCGCUCAAUUCCCGCUUACAUUUUACCAGAAAAAAUUAACUAACCCCAAUUUGGCCUUCUCCAUUUCACCAACCUUCCCUCUCCGCUGCCACUGUGCCGUCGUGGCUCCACUACCUCCGCGUCGCCAUUGCUCUGCUACUCCUGUGUCUGUCGUCGCUUCGACACACUCGCGCCGCUGUCGCUCCGUAAUAAACGGCAAGGCGGUGCCGCUAACUGUUAGAUAUGAGAUCGCGGAGGAAGUAUGCUUCCUCUCUCAAAAGUACGGCAAGGUUCUGAGGUUGGCGGUGGUGAUAGUAGGGAACAAGAAGGACUCAUAGAGUUAUGUGGGAAUGAAGAGAAAGACAUGUGCUGAAUUAGGGAUUAAGUCCUUCGACAUUGACCUUCCCGAACAAGUUUCCGAAUCCAAUUUGAUUAAGCAAGUUCACCAGCUCAAUGUUAACCCUGAUGUUCAUGGGCCUAGAGAGAAGCUCGAUUGGAGUCUCAGAUUUAAGAUUAUUUUGGGAACUGCCGAGUGACUUUGCUAUCUUCAUGAGGGAUGUCAAAGAAGGAUCAUUCACAAGGAUAUCAAGGUUUCUAAUAUUCUUCUCUUUGAGACUUUUGAGCCUCAGACAUCUGAUUUUGGCCUAGCAAAGUGGUUACCUGACCAAUGGACUCACCAUACUGUUUCCAAAGUAGAAGGCACAUUCAGGUACCUUUCCCCUAAAUUCUUCAUGCAUGGAAUAGUAGAUGAGAAAACUGAUGUAUAUGCUUAUGGUGUGUUAUUAUUGGAGCUAAUCACUGGAAGACAAGCUUUGGAUAUCUCACAAAAAUUUUUUAUCAUGUGGGCAGGUUAUGCUACCUUGGCCAUAGGAACUGAGUGGAUUUUUCGCCCCAAGCAAGAAGUGAUCUCUCCGGUGCUUUGUAGUUGCGAUGUUCUUCUUUUGUUGUUAACAGGGCAUGAAGUAUAUAAGAGGACAUGUAUUGCAGCACCAACACAUAUAAAAUGAGGGGAAGAAAGUAUAUAAGAGGCACCUCCUCAAGUCUAAUGCUGAUUCUUCUUCGCUCCACUCUUUACAUAUCCUCUUAGCUUAAUUCCUAGCUAGUAUAGGACUAGAUUUUUUACAUGCUUUCCUGUCAAAUAUUUAUUUUCUUAGUUGUUCAAUUAUUAUUCAAUACAUACACUACUUUAGAUAAUGGUACGACACUAAAGUUUCAUUGAACAAAUUUUAAUUUAAUGUCCGUUUAUUAUAUAAUAUUGAACAAGUUUUUUUAUGC